AUUGAACGCUGGCGGCAGGCCUAACACAUGCAAGUCGAGCGGAUGAGUGGAGCUUGCUCCAUGAUUCAGCGGCGGACGGGUGAGUAAUGCCUAGGAAUCUGCCUGGUAGUGGGGGACAACGUUUCGAAAGGAACGCUAAUACCGCAUACGUCCUACGGGAGAAAGUGGGGGAUCUUCGGACCUCACGCUAUCAGAUGAGCCUAGGUCGGAUUAGCUAGUUGGUGGGGUAAAGGCUCACCAAGGCGACGAUCCGUAACUGGUCUGAGAGGAUGAUCAGUCACACUGGAACUGAGACACGGUCCAGACUCCUGCGGGAGGCAGCAGUGGGGAAUAUUGGACAAUGGGCGAAAGCCUGAUCCAGCCAUGCCGCGUGUGUGAAGAAGGUCUUCGGAUUGUAAAGCACUUUAAGUUGGGAGGAAGGGCAGUAAGUUAAUACCUUGCUGUUUUGACGUUACCAACAGAAUAAGCACCGGCUAACUUCGUGCCAGCCGCCGCAGUAACAC
rnacentral:rRNA from 1 species